rnacentral:rRNA from 1 species
GACGAACGCUGGCGGCGUGCUUAACACAUGCAAGUCGAACGGGCCUGUCCUGGUUUUUGCUGGGGUGGGUUAGUGGCGAACGGGUGAGUAACACGUGAGUAACCUGCCCCUCACUUCUGGAUAACCGCUUGAAAGGGUGGCUAAUACGGGGUGUUCUGGCUGUGCCGCAUGGUGUGGUUGGGAAAGAUUCACUAUUUGUUUGGUGUUUUGGUGGGGGAUGGGCUCGCGGCCUAUCAGCUUGUUGGUGGGUGAUGGCCUGCCAAGGCUUUGACGGGUAGCCGGCCUGAGAGGGUGGGCGGUCACACUGGGACUGAGACACGGCCCAGACUCCUGCGGGAGGCAGCAGUGGGGGAUAUUGCACAAUGGGCGGAAGCCUGAUGCAGCGACGUCGCGUGAGGGAUGGAGGCCUUCGGGUUGUGAACCUCUUUCGCCGGUGAAGAAGGUCCUGCUUUUUGGGUGGGGUUGACGGUAGCCGGGUUAUGAAGCGCCGGCUAACUACGUGCCAGCAGCCGCGGUAAUACGUAGGGCGCGAGCGUUGUCCGGAAUUAUUGGGCGUAAAGGGCUUGUAGGCGGCUGGUCGCGUCUGCCGUGAAAUCCUCUGGCUCAGCUGGGGGCGUGCGGUGGGUACGGGCUGGCUUGAGUGCGGUAGGGGAGGCUGGAACUCCUGGUGUAGCGGUGGAAUGCGCAGAUAUCAGGAGGAACACCGGUGGCGAAGGCGGGUCUCUGGGCCGUUACUGACGCUGAGGAGCGAAAGCGUGGGGAGCGAACAGG